ACUAUGCCUAAAGAAGCGAAAAAUAUGUGAAAAAUAGAGAAAAAUGUGUUAACUUAUAAAACUACACACCAAUAAAGAAAAAGACUCCUCCAAUUCCUGCAUGAUAAGGUUCCAUUCCAACAUUCCCCUCGCCCAGAACAGUCUCUACUACAGCUAGAGCUUAGUCCAGACAUGUAAAGUAAAUGCCGAAACAUCACUUAAAUGGUCCUGAAGACUAUAAAUAAAGGUAAUUUAAAUAGAUCAAAGGAUGACAUGUAGUCAUCUUAUUUAAAAAUUGCACAUUACCUGUAGUCCAGUCCGGAGUGGUUAAUAUCAAGCAAGCACUCUCCAGAUAACAACGGAAUUAUAGAAAGCACUUGACAAACUAUGAACUUUUAUCCAAUUCACAAAACACAAUACAAAACAACAACAUUGCCAAUGUAACAUUUGACAUUUGCCACCAUUUUAGUUCUUUGUUGUAAAAUGACACAUGACAGUCCUGACUGACAGAAGUCAAAAUAGACUUGUGACCAGGGGUGGCCAUACGUACGGUAAUUACCGUACAUGUACGGCAAUUUGGGCAAUUGUACGGUGUAGGUCCCGAACGCGUUACCGUACGCCAAUUGUACGAUAUUUCCAAUAAAAAUCAAUUUAAAUGCAAGAAGUGCUAUACUUUUCCUCGUUUCUGUGCGUAAUAGAUUUUUCUCUCAGCCAUAUAAUUUAGGUAUGGAGUUAAUUCGAAGUUGGUAAAUUUUAUGGCUUCAAAUGAGAAUCAACCCUGGACCACAAAAUAUCCCCCCCAGGGGGUAUGUUCUGUGCCCUGGACAGAGGAGGCAACGAUUGAACUAUAUCCACUUUUUGGAAAACUUAAAAAACAUGGUUCAGACAUACAAAUUAUUGAAAAACAUGUUGGACAUAUUUUUUGAGCACCUCAAUCUUUUUGACAUUAUAGGAACAAAACAAUUAGUAGUAUGUACUUA